UAACCUGCCCAAGAGAUCGGGAUAACACCUGGAAACAGAUGCUAAUACCGGAUAAUAACAGAUGAUGCCUAUCAACUGUUUAAAAGAUGGUUCUGCUAUCACUCUUGGAUGGACCUGCGGUGCAUUAGCUAGUUGGUAGGGUAACGGCCUACCAAGGCGAUGACGCAUAGCCGAGUUGAGAGACUGAUCGGCCACAUUGGGACUGAGACACGGCCCAAACUCCUACGGGAGGCAGCAGCU
rnacentral:rRNA from 1 species